rnacentral:rRNA from 1 species
AGCGUACACAGGUGCUGCAUGGCUGUCGUCAGCUCCGUGUCGUGAGAUGUUGGGUUAAGUCCCGCAACGAGCGCAACCCUGCUGCCAGUUGCAACGGGUGAAGCCGGGCACUCUGGCGGGACUGCCAUCGACAAGAUGGAGGAAGUGGGGAUGACGUCAAGUCAUCAUGGCCCUUAUGUCCAGGGCGACACACGUGCUACAAUGGCCGGCACAGCGGGAAGCGAGGCAGUGAUGCCAAGCGGAUCCCUUAAAGCCGGUCUCAGUUCGGAUUGAAGUCUGCAACUCGACUUCAUGAAGCUGGAAUCGCUAGUAAUCGCAGAUCAGCCAAGCUGCGGUGAAUACGUUCCCGGGCCUU